CGUCUAUAUACGUAUAGCAUAUCAAUAAGCGGAGGAAAAGAAACUAACAAGGAUUCCCUUAGUAACGGCGAGUGAAGCGGGAAGAGCUCAAAUUUGAAAUCUUCAAGGUUCUACCUUGACGAAUUGUAGUUUAAAGAAGUGUUUUCUGUUAGAUGAGUAGGCAAAAGUUCCUUGGAAUAGGGACAUCAUAGAGGGUGAGAAUCCCGUAUUUGGUCAUUCCUCCUAGCGUUGUGAUACACUUUCAACGAGUCGGAUUGUUUGGGAAUGCAGUCCAAAAUGGGUGGUAAAUUUCAUCUAAAGCUAAAUACUUGGCGAGAGACCGAUAGCGAACAAGUACCGUGAGGGAAAGAUGAAAAGAACUUUGAAAAGAGAGUUAAACAGUACGUGAAAUUGUCAAAAGGGAAGCGCUUUGACACCAGUGUUGUUUUUUCCAAAAAUCAAUUACGAAUGGCUUGAUUUUGUGUUGUAUUGACCUUAUCAGCUUUCUGCACUUUUUUCGAGUCUUUCUUAAUGCACUUUUUGGUUAACAAGUCAACAUCAAUUUCUUUUGUUGUAAAAGAGUAUUCGGAAGGUGGCUUUCUUUUCGGAGAAAGUGUUUAUAGCCCUAUACUUCUACAAUCGGAGAGAUUGAGGUCUGCAGCGUAGAUCCUUCGGGGUUAGAUACAUUUGUGCUAAGUUGUAGCUUUUCAUAGACAACUUGUUGACUAUGUUUAGUCAUGCGGCUUACUCGCUUAGUGCUAUUUUACCUACGCUUAGGAUGUUGACUGAUAUGUAGUCGUA
rnacentral:rRNA from 1 species